UUAGUCUCUUGUCCCGCAAAA
ensembl:piRNA 21ur-14534 ncRNA